rnacentral:rRNA from 1 species
GCUUACGGCCAUACCACCCUGAACACGCCGCGAUCUCGUCAGAUCUCGGAAGCUAAGCAGGGUCGGGCCUGGUUAGUACUUGGAUGGGAGACCGCCUGGGAAUACAGGUGCUGUAAGCU